AGAGUUUGAUCAUGGCUCAGAUUGAACGCUGGCGGCAGGCCUAACACAUGCAAGUCGAGCGGUAGCACAAGAGAGCUUGCUCUCUGGGUGACGAGCGGCGGACGGGUGAGUAAUGUCUGGGAAACUGCCUGAUGGAGGGGGAUAACUACUGGAAACGGUAGCUAAUACCGCAUAACGUCUUCGGACCAAAGUGGGGGACCUUCGGGCCUCACGCCAUCAGAUGUGCCCAGAUGGGAUUAGCUAGUAGGUGGGGUAAUGGCUCACCUAGGCGACGAUCCCUAGCUGGUCUGAGAGGAUGACCAGCCACACUGGAACUGAGACACGGUCCAGACUCCUACGGGAGGCAGCAGUGGGGAAUAUUGCACAAUGGGCGCAAGCCUGAUGCAGCCAUGCCGCGUGUGUGAAGAAAGCCUUCGGGUUGUAAAGCACUUUCAGCGAGGAGGAAGGGUAGUGUGUUAAUAGCACAUUGCAUUGACGUUACUCGCAGAAGAAGCACCGGCUAACUCCGUGCCAGCAGCCGCGGUAAUACGGAGGGUGCAAGCGUUAAUCGGAAUUACUGGGCGUAAAGCGCACGCAGGCGGUUUGUUAAGUCAGAUGUGAAAUCCCCGCGCUUAACGUGGGAACUGCAUUUGAAACUGGCAAGCUAGAGUCUUGUAGAGGGGGGUAGAAUUCCAGGUGUAGCGGUGAAAUGCGUAGAGAUCUGGAGGAAUACCGGUGGCGAAGGCGGCCCCCUGGACAAAGACUGACGCUCAGGUGCGAAAGCGUGGGGAGCAAACAGGAUUAGAUACCCCGGUAGUCCAA
rnacentral:rRNA from 1 species